rnacentral:rRNA from 1 species
AUUGAACGCUGGCGGCAGGCCUAACACAUGCAAGUCGAACGAGCGGCGGACGGGUGAGUAAUGUCUGGGAAACUGCCUGAUGGAGGGGGAUAACUACUGGAAAAGGUAGCUAAUACCGCAUACCAUCAGAUGUGCCCAGAUGGGAUUAGCUCGUAGGUGGGGUAAUGGCUCACCUGGGGGACGAUCCCUAGCUGGUCUGAGAGGAUGACCGGCAACACUGGAACUGAGACAGGGUCCAGACUCCUACGGGAGGCAGCGGUGGGGAAUAUGGCACAAUGGGCGCAAGCCUGAUGCAGCCAUGCCGCGUAUGUGAAGAAGGCCUUCGGGUUGUAAAGCACUUUCAGCGAGGAGGCGUUACUCGCAGAAGAAGCACCGGCUAACUCCGUGCCAGCCGCCGCGGUAAAC